rnacentral:rRNA from 1 species
CAGUCGCCGCGGGAAUACGAAGGGGGCUAGCGUUGCUCGGAAUGACUGGGCGUAAAGGGCGCGUAGGCGGAUUGUUUAGUUAGGCGUGAAAUUCCUGGGCUUAACCUGGGGACUGCGCUUAAUACAGGCAGUCUAGAGUGAGGAAGAGGGUUGUGGAAUUCCCAGUGUAGAGGUGAAAUUCGUAGAUAUUGGGAAGAACACCGGUGGCGAAGGCGGCAACCUGGUCCUUGACUGACGCUAAGGCGCGAAAGCGUGGGGAGCAAACAGGAUUAGAUACCCGCGUAGUCCCUGUCUCUUAUAC